rnacentral:rRNA from 1 species
UACGUAGGGGGCAAGCGUUGUCCGGAAUCAUUGGGCGUAAAGAGCGUGUAGGCGGCUCGGUAAGUCCGCUGUGAAAGUCCAGGGCUCAACCCUGGAAUGCCGGUGGAAACUGUCGAGCUAGAGUCCGGAAGAGGCGAGUGGAAUUCCUGGUGUAGCGGUGAAAUGCGCAGAUAUCAGGAGGAACACCAAUGGCGAAGGCGGCUCGCUGGGACGGUACUGACGCUGAGACGCGAAAGCGUGGGGAGCAAACAGG